UACGGGGGGGGCAAGCGUUGUUCGGAAUUACUGGGCGUAAAGGGCGCGUAGGCGGCCUGCUAAGUCGAACGUGAAAUCCCUGGGCUCAACCCAGGAACUGCGUCCGAUACUGGUUGGCUUGAAUCCGGGAGAGGGAUGUGGAAUUCCAGGUGUAGCGGUGAAAGUGCGUAGAUAUCUGGAGGAACACCGGUGGCGAAGGCGGCGAUCCUGGACCAAUACUGACGCUGAGGAGCGAAAGCCAGGGGAGCAAAGCGGGG
rnacentral:rRNA from 1 species